rnacentral:ncRNA from 1 species
UCUUAUCUAGAGAGGCUGAGGGACCGGCCCUUCGAAGCCCGGCAACCGAUCGGAUCGCCCUUGGGUCCCGAAACGGUGCCAACUCCGUCGAGCGUAUCGUGCUCGAGAAGAUGAGA